UACGUAGGGUGCAAGCGUUAAUCGGAAUUACUGGGCGUAAAGCGUGCGCAGGCGGUUAUGUAAGACAGAUGUGAAAUGCCCGGGCUUAACCUGGGAAUGGCGCUUGUAACUGGCAAGCUAGAGUGUGUCAGAGGGAGGUAGAAUUCCACGUGUAGCAGUGAAAUGCGUAGAGAUGUGGAGGAAUACCGAUGGCGAAGGCAGCCUCCUGGGAUAACACUGACGCUCAUGCACGAAAGCGUGGGGAGCAAGACGG
rnacentral:rRNA from 1 species